rnacentral:rRNA from 1 species
UGGGGAAUAUUGCACAAUGGGCGAAAGCCUGAUGCAGCAACGCCGCGUGAGUGAUGAAGGCCUUCGGGUUGUAAAGCUCUGUCUUUUGGGACGAUAAUGACGGUACCAAAGGAGGAAGCCACGGCUAACUACGUGCCAGCAGCCGCGGUAAUACGUAGGUGGCAAGCGUUGUCCGGAUUUACUGGGCGUAAAGGAUGCGUAGGCGGACUUUUAAGUGAGAUGUGAAAAGCCCUAAGCUUAACUUGGGGACUGCAUUUCAUACUGGAAAUCUAGAGUGCGGGAGAGGAGAAUGGAAUUCCUAGUGUAGCGGUGAAAUGCGUAGAGAUUAGGAAGAACACCAGUGGCGAAGGCGAUUCUCUGGACCGUAACUGACGCUGAGGGGCAUGAAAGCGUGGGUAGCAAACAGGAUUAGAUACCCUGGUAGUCCACGCCGUAAACGAUGAGUACUAGGUGUAGGAGGUAUCGACCCCUUCUGUGCCGCAGUUAA